GUUGGAGCAGUUGGACGGUUGACCACUGGAAGCCCUGACGCCCUACACUUCAGUGAAGCCCAAUAGAUAAAGACCAUCGACUGUCCGAGUCCCCCAGGAGGUAUCCCAUCCACCAGAAGCAUUUAGUUCGGAUCAGUCUGAUUCUCUAUGCUCUGAGGCAGAGGGGGACCAGCUUGAGGAGCUAAAGGUUCUGCCCAACACCCAGACGUGGAUCCACCUGAUGUCCUCCAUUACCAACCACCCUCCAACUUUUCAUUACAUCAUCUACAGCUACUGUUGAUGUCAUGUUGUCAUUAUCUGCUUAGACAUUUUUCUUGCUCUAUCAUACUGGGCACAUAAUGUGAGAUACACAGAUUAACUAAAAACAGUAGCACUGCAAACACUUAGAAUAAAGAGAGCAGCAGUGCCUGGACUUUGCAGUCUCCCUCUUCAAGUCCCCCUUCUGGGACUGGUUGUUGAGUACAAGUGACAGGCAGAACCUCCCACCCACACAGAAACCACUUCCUCUAUAUUCCACACACCAGAAUUCAGUA